GACGGAGGAUGCAAGCGUUAUCCGGAAUUAUUGGGCGUAAAGCGUCCGCAGGUGGCUGUUCAAGUCUGCUGUCAAAGCGCAGAGCUUAACUCUGUACAGGCGGUGGAAACUGAAGAGCUAGAGUAUGGUAGGGGUAGAGGGAAUUCCCGGUGUAGCGGUGAAAUGCGUAGAUAUCGGGAAGAACACCGGUGGCGAAGGCGGCUCGCUGGGCCAUUGCUGACGCUGAGGCGCGAAAGCGUGGGGAGCAAACAGG
rnacentral:rRNA from 1 species